rnacentral:rRNA from 1 species
GACGAACGCUGGCGGCGUGCCUAAUACAUGCAAGUAGAACGCUGAAGGAGGAGCUUGCUUCUCUGGAUGAGUUGCGAACGGGUGAGUAACGCGUAGGUAACCUGCCUGGUAGCGGGGGAUAACUAUUGGAAACGAUAGCUAAUACCGCAUAAUAGUAGAUGUUGCAUGACAUUUGGUUAAAAGGUGCAAUUGCAUCACUACCAGAUGGACUUGCGUUGUAUUAGCUAGUUGGUGAGGUAACGGCUCACCAAGGCGACGAUGCAUAGCCGACCUGAGAAGGUGAACCGCCACACUGGGCUGUCGACCGGGCCCUAAUUGCCACGGGAGGCAGCAGUAGGGAAUCUUGGGAAAAUGUCGGAAGUCUGACCGAGACACGCCGCGGGAGGGAAGAAGGGUGUCGGAUCGUAAAGUUCUGUUAUAAGAGACGAACGAGUGUGGGAGUGGAACGUUCACACUGUGACGGUAUCUUACCAGAAAGGGACGGCUAACUACGUG